rnacentral:rRNA from 1 species
GUGUCAGCCGCCGCGGUAAGACGAACCGUGCGAACGUUGUUCGGAAUCACUGGGCUUAAAGGGCGCGUAGGCGGGUUCUCAAGUCUGGAGUGAAAGCCCACGGCUCAACCGUGGAAGCGCUUCGGAUACUGGGGGCCUCGAGGGAGGUAGGGGCGUGCGGAACUUCCGGUGGAGCGGUGAAAUGCGUAGAUAUCGGAAGGAACACCGGUGGCGAAAGCGGCGCGCUGGACCUCUUCUGACGCUGAGGCGCGAAAGCCAGGGGAGCAAACGGGAUUAGAAACCCCUGUAGUCC